AUGCCGUUGGACGUGUUGGUGGACAUUGCGGUGCGCACGGACCCGGCCACCCUCGUGCGCUGUGCCGCCACGUGCAUGGACCGCGUCAAGGAAUACAUCAGCCUCCACGGCCCCCUCUGCCUCCAGCAGGGAGACCGCUUCGUGCUCCCCCUCCUACGCGGCAAUCUGAUCUACCAGUCCCACGGCUGGCCCAAGCCCGAGGAGGAGCUGUUUCUGGUGGACACCAGCGUGCCGGAUGCCACCAAGCUGCGCACGGCUAGCCGCGGAGGCUUUCCCCUCUCGUCACGUGAUGGUCUUGUCCUCGCCCGUGUAGGCUUGGCACAAGAGCUCCGCGUGUGCGACCCGGCCACCGGCAGGAGUCUCACCCUACCAUCCGAACAGGCGUUCCCAAGAACGACUGGGGUAAAUUAUGUCGUGCUCGUCCGUGGCGAUGAUAAGGGGGCCACCUCCGUUGGCCGGCAUUUUCAAGUGGUCAAGGCAUAUCUAGAGAUGUCACAGUACAGCGGCAACCUGCAGCUCCAGACCUUCUCAUCGGAGCAUGGCGUGUGGGGCCUCUACACCAACAACUAUCUACCUAACCUAUUUGGCAACCACUUGCAACAAAGCCUCGGCAAGGCCCUGGUCACCGGCAGCACUGUCCACUGGUUGUGCUAG
rnacentral:rRNA from 1 species